rnacentral:rRNA from 1 species
AACAAACGCUGGCGGCGUGCCUAAUACAUGCAAGUCGAACGAGGUAGCAAUACCUAGUGGCGCACGGGUGAGUAACGCGUGGAUAAUCUGCCUUUGAGUGGGGGAUAACUAGUCGAAAGAUUAGCUAAUACCGCAUAAGACCACAGGAACUGAGGUUCUAGGGGUUAAAGGUUUUUCGCUCAUAGAUGAGUCCGCGUGAGAUUAGCUAGUUGGUGAGGUAAAGGCUCACCAAGGCGACGAUCUCGAACUGGUCUGAGAGGAUGAUCAGUCACACUGGAACUGAGACACGGUCCAGACGCCUACGGGAGGCAGCAGUAGGGAAUAUUGCACAAUGGAGGAAACUCUGAUGCAGCGACGCCGCGUGAGUGAUGAAGGCUUUCGGGUCGUAAAGCUCUGUCGCAGGGGAAUAACACAAUGAAUGUACCCUGUAAGAAAGGAUCGGCUAACUUCGUGCCAGCCGCCGCUGUAA